GUGCCAGCCGCCGCGGUAAUACGUAGGUGGCAAGCGUUGUCCGGAUUUAUUGGGCGUAAAGCGAGCGCAGGCGGUUUCUUAAGUCUGAUGUGAAAGCCCCCGGCUCAACCGGGGAGGGUCAUUGGAAACUGGGAGACUUGAGUGCAGGAGAGGAGAGUGGAAUUCCAUGUGUAGCGGUGAAAUGCGUAGAUAUAUGGAGGAACACCAGUGGCGAAGGCGGCUCUCUGGUCUGUAGCUGACGCUGAGGCUCGAAAGCGUGGGGAGCGAACAGGAUUAGAUACCCUGGUAGUCCACGCCGUAAACGAUGAGUGCUAAGUGUUGGAGGGUUUCCGCCCUUCAGUGCUGCAGCAAACGCAUUAAGCACUCCGCCUGGGGAGUACGACCGCAAGGUUGAAACUCAAAGGAAUUGACGGGGGCCCGCACAAGCGGUGGAGCAUGUGGUUUAAUUCGAAGCAACGCGAAGAACCUUACCAGGUCUUGACAUCCUUUGACCACUCUAGAGAUAGAGCUUCCCCUUCGGGGGCAAAGUGACAGGUGGUGCAUGGUUGUCGUCAGCUCGUGUCGUGAGAUGUUGGGUUAAGUCCCGCAACGAGCGCAACCCUUAUUGUUAGUUGCCAUCAUUUAGUUGGGCACUCUAGCGAGACUGCCGGUGACAAACCGGAGGAAGGUGGGGAUGACGUCAAAUCAUCAUGCCCCUUAUGAC
rnacentral:rRNA from 1 species